rnacentral:rRNA from 1 species
AACCAACCGGGAUUGCCUUAGUAACGGCGAGUGAAGCGGCAAAAGCUCAAAUUUGAAAUCUGGUACCUUUGGUGCCCGAGUUGUAAUUUGUAGAAGGUAACUUUGGGGCUGGUCCUUGUCUAUGUUCCUUGGAACAGGACGUCAUAGAGGGUGAGAAUCCCGUGUGGCGAGGAUCCCAGUUCUUUGUAAAGUGCUUUCGAAGAGUCGAGUUGUUUGGGAAUGCAGCUCUAAGUGGGUGGUAAAUUCCAUCUAAAGCUAAAUAUUGGCGAGAGACCGAUAGCGAACAAGUACAGUGAUGGAAAGAUGAAAAGAACUUUGAAAAGAGAGUGAAAAAGUACGUGAAAUUGUUGAAAGGGAAGGGCAUUUGAUCAGACAUGGUGUUUUGCGCCCUCUGCUCCUUGUGGGUGGGGGAAUCUCGCAGCUCACUGGGCCAGCAUCGGUUUUGGCGGCAGGAUAAAUCUGCAGGAAUGUAACUUGCCUCGGUAAGUAUUAUAGCCUGUAGGAAUACUGCCAGCUGGGACUGAGGACUGCGACUUUACGUCAAGGAUGCUGGCAUAAUGGUUAUAUGCCGC